GGGGAUUUUGUUGUGCUUGUUGAAAAUAGUGCAAAUUACUACGUGAGUACUUCCAACAGAGUUGUAUGAUGCUCUUGAUGAUGUUGUACUUCUAGCGAGUGACCAGGAUAAAUGGACUCUGUGCACAGCCCCACUACCUUCUGAACUUAAGGCAGCUCCUUUAUUUCCUGUCUUACAUUAUUGGACAAACUGAUCAAUGCAGGUGUGACUGAUCAUUGUGACUACUCAGGCACAUCUGGAUUAAUCAGUUUGUCCAAUAAUGUAGAGAUAAAAGAGCAGCCUUCAAUUCAGGAAGUAGUGGAUUGGUGCAUAGAGCCCAUCAGCCUACAUGUUUAAUGUCAGCGCCAGAUUUGAAGCAGUCAAUGAUGAGUGUUUGUGAGCCAUCUUAGACUGUAUAAACCCCAGAAACCAGCCUCCAGUUCUUAUGAUAUGCUAAUUGGCCCUUUUGCAAACUCUUUAUUGUACUAGCUAUUCUUAAAGGACUUGAGGAAGAUCUGUGAAAUGAGGUAGUCAGAUAAUUAACAAAUCUUUGCUGUACUAUGUGUUGAAACUUUCCUUUGAAAGAACAAAAGCACAGGGAACUAUUGAACUACUGAAUAUUUUUCAUGGAUAAUAGAAGUAAUUGGUAGGAGAUAUGUCAGCAAAAUUAACUGUGGCUUGCAGAUUUCUUCUAAGGAGCGCAAAAAAUAAGACAACCAGAGCAGAAAUCACACCGGAGGUAAAAGAGCAUUCAAAGUUGGAACCGGGUGAUCGGUCUAACAGGCUCCAAUCUGAAGAGGAGCAGGCAGGUAUUCAAACAUAAGGCAGCAAAGCAGGAUCAAAACAAGCAUAGUGGGCCAAAAAUUAAGGAACACAUACUGUAGGCUUGAGAGCUUGGCAAGACAUAAGACAAAUUAGCAGGGGGAAGAGAGGAAUGGCUUUUAUGUAAGGAGUUAUGGAUCAGGAAACAGCUGCAGGUGAAAAUGAUGGGGCGUUAGGUUAGUGUCUGCAGGACCGGUCUUUUAUUUGGUUGGUGUAUAGAUAGUUAAAGAGGACAGAGACUGAAUGUCAAGUAGUCAAAUUUAAUCUUACUGCAAAAUGUCUUCCAAAUAAAUGCUGAUGAAUCUUUUUUUCUGAAUGUUAUCUACAGUUAAGUUUUUUAUUCCACCAGAAAGCACAUCAGCAACAACUCCUAUGAGCCCUGAGCCUUUGUCUGAAUACAUUUCUGAGAAAACUUUUUGUAAAACAUGAUAGUGUCUGCAAAACUGAAUCUAAAUCCUGGCUUGUGUGGCCAGGAUUAGUUAAUGCCAAACAUUGUCAUUUUAAAUUAACUGAAGGGAUUUUAAAUAUGCAUUUACAGACUGAAAAGAAAAAGAUGUUAUUGAAGGUCAUAUGAAUAUCCACAUCUUUCACAAGCCUCAGUGAUUAUGUUAACGGUUAUACUACAGCAAGAGCCGGUGACGCAUGUGUGUAUGUGUUCCUGUUAUAAUACUUCAUGCAGAGGAGCUGCGUUUACUGUACAGCAAAUUGUCAAUGUGCUAUCCAGAGAAAACACAUUAAUUUUCGUGCUGAAUAAACACUGUCAAGGUAAGUGUUUGACAAUCUUAUGGGUGUAUAAGAACUGACUUGUAUGAUGAUUAAUUCCUGUGAGUGAAAGUGACACCAAAACUCACAGCUGUGAAUGACUCUGUGCUGCCACAUGAAAAAAAAAUGAAAUUAUUCCUCGCACUGUCAUAUGGGACAUAGAGAAUGAUAUCCCAUUAAAAAAGAACAGCAGAGGCUUAACACCUGACUCCCAAUCUGUCACUGAAUAAAGCACACACGCCAAGCCACGCUCACCCAGAUACACACCCUCAGCUCUGUGAGAUAGAGCAAUCAUCAAUGUUGCAGCAUGUAAGAUGUGGUUUAUGGCCUCCAAUUCAUUGUAACACGACCUUUUCCCAUUGUUGGACCACGACCAAGUUUGGUAGGCCUCAUCCCUUGGGUCUAAAUAAUAAAAGGAUUCAAAUAUUUUUCAGCCUUUUCUCUACACACAUACUCUUUAUACACAAAUACUCAGAGAGACACUGCAGAUUCACUCCUUGGUCAGUGGGAGAUGGAUUGUAUUGAUUUCAUAAUACAGGCCCUGACAGCUGUAGUUUUAAUUGCUUUGCCAACAUUAAAAAGGAUCUUCUUCAUUGUUGUCCUCUUCACUUAACUGUGUCUGUAUCAAAACCGAAAAGACACAAUAGAUGUCACACAUGCGGGCAAAGUUUUGUGGGGAUGGCUGAAGUAACAGUAACAGAACAAGUACUUCUCAUCAUCACUUGAACAUCAAUGGCAGCUCACAAGUAAAUAAUAGAUUAUAGAAAUCCAUGGUCCUUUUUAGUUCAACAUACUGUACAUGUAAAAGAUAAUGUUAAUUUAUUCAUUCAUGCACUUGUUUGAAAAUUCAAAUUUACAAAUAUGCACUUUUUAGUGAGCCCUUAUUUCCCAUUGUUAUGUACUAUAGGCGCAGUUACUUGGUGUAAUCUUUUUUCAAAGCGCUGACAACAUUGAGGUCUUCCAUGUUAUCAAAAACAGAUGAAAUCUGUAACAAUCUUUCUUUACUUUUUAGAGUUGUGCCACACAAGGCAAAGACAAAGGAACUGUACCAGUUUUAGAGUAAUAAGGGGCAAAGAUAGCUUAGAUAGCUUAGCGAUUAGAUUUCGUUUCGUUUUGUUCCCCGAUUUGGUGCCUUUCCUGCAUGUCAUUCCCUUCUUUCUCCUCCGUUUCGGACUCUAUCCACUAUCCUCCAGCUAUUUUUGGCUUGUUGACAGGUGCUCAAUUGGUAAAGCAUUCGCCUCAACCGUCAGAGGUUCUUCGGCUUCGUUUCCAACCUCAGCCAAGCCCCCACACAGUUCACCAAACAUGGUCCAUGUAUCUGGCAAAUAAAUUAAUAUAAAGCUGUUUUAUUUUGCCUUAAAAUAUACUGAAUGAAAAUAUGUGGUGGACCACAGCCACACAGAAAAAAAAAACAAAAAAAAAACAGGCUGUUCCAUCAAGUGAUGCCAAGCAGAUGUUGCAGCUUGAGAGCUAAAACUGGGAGGAUGAAGACGGUCUUCUUCUUUCCUUAUGUCAUUUGACUGUAAUUUAAACUGUCCUAGUAUACAACACCUUAAAACCUAGUUUACAGACAACAACUCUUCCCCAACCCUGAUACUGCUGUAAGAUAACGUAGUGCGCUAUAUUCACAGGACUGUGUACCUUUCGCAACAAAAAAUGAGCCUUUACCGUACUUCAAUACACUGUCUUGUAUUGAAAUGUUAAAAAUAUUUUACAAAAUUGUAUUUAAUCACACCAGCCCAGUUUGUUAAAGGUCCAUCCGACCUGAUUGUAUCUUUCAAUGCAAAUGCAUAGUUUGCUGUUGACAGUGAGUAAAAACAGCCCUUUCUCUUUUUUCAGUUACCUUGGUUACUUUGCAAAUGUUUUAAACAUUUUGUGUCAACUAUUUUGUGUAGAAAUGUUUUGUAUCAAAACCUGAGGGUCUACAGCUGUGUUCAAAGUGGAUUAAACAGUCAGUAGAAAAGACAUUUUGUAGACCACACCACAGCGUGAACAGGAUGGUAAAAUUCUCCUCACUAAACUCCCUCAGUAAUGUUGAGGACACAGGGAAUGAGAAAAUAACCCUGAAAACAACCAGAGUGCCUACUCGAAUUACAACCAUAAUUCCAGAUCUUCUUGUAUUCAGUGUGAACCAAAGGUUUGUAAAUUCCUGACAGGUGUUAGGUAUGUGCGAGAAAACUUGUACAUGGCCAUGAUAUUCAAUAUUACAUUCCAUAUGCGUGACAUACUUUGAAAAUAGUUUUAUUUCUAAUAUUCUGCACUUUUUACUCACUAUUGCAAUUUCUUAUUUAUUCCCAAUUUCAUUCCUAUUCCUAUCAUUGUUUUAUUAAUAUUGUAUUUUUUCAAGAGCAAAUGUAAUUCUGUAAUGACCAAACCCCCCUUUAACCCUCCUCUGCAUUGUUGUGUGAACAGAAAAAUAAUCAGAAACACCUCAGGUGUGGACAGGAUGUUUUUUUUUCUGUAAACAAAGGAAAAAAAUCUGUUUUUAGAAAUAUCUUUGUGAAAAUAGCCUCGGAGUAAACAAAUAUGUGUUGUUGGAAUGGUUGUCAAGCUGCACAUUACUGGAUGCUUGGCUACACUUCUGUUUGGGUAGCAAUGUCUGCUCAACUUAUUUACAUAUCAGACUGACAGGUAAUAUAUAAACACUCAUUACCCUCAGUCAACAAGUUAGUCCUCUUGCUGUUGUCCAUAUGACUACAUACUUCACAUUACUGUCACUGUGGUUGUGUUUGCCGUGCUGCCCUCUUCCGUCAGCUUGCUUCCUAGUUUGUUAUUGUUAAAUUGUACAUGACAAUCCACACACUGCCUGCUCAGCUGUUGUGACUUUUGUUAGGAAUCAGAACCAAAAUCAGGGCACUCAUUUUGUUGUGUAUUUGUUUUUUCACAAAUCCUCUGCAUUGAGAUCCCUUUGCUUCCUUUGUGUCAGUGCUGUUAUUCACUUUACAUCAGUCAACACGGACUGUGUUUUAAUUUUUAAAAUACAAAUAAUGUGUACAUACUGUACAUCUUAGGGCAAAUCCAAA